rnacentral:rRNA from 1 species
UGUUUGAUGUUCUAACGUGGACCCGUGAUCCGGGUUGCGGACAGUGUCUGGUGGGUAGUUUGACUGGGGCGGUCUCCUCCUAAAGAGUAACGGAGGAGCACGAAGGUUGGCUAAUCCUGGUCGGACAUCAGGAGGUUAGUGCAAUGGCAUAAGCCAGCUUGACUGCGAGCGUGACGGCGCGAGCAGGUGCGAAAGCAGGUCAUAGUGAUCCGGUGGUUCUGAAUGGAAGGGCCAUCGCUCAACGGAUAAAAGGUACUCCGGGGAUAACAGGCUGAUACCGCCCAAGAGUUCAUAUCGACGGCGGUGUUUGGCACCUCGAUGUCGGCUCAUCACAUCCUGGGGCUGAAGUAGGUCCCAAGGGUAUGGCUGUUCGCCAUUUAAAGUGGUACGCGAGCUGGGUUUAGAACGUCGUGAGACAGUUCGGUCCCUAUCUGCCGUGGGCGCUGGAGAACUGAGGGGGGCUGCUCCUAGUACGAGAGGACCGGAGUGGACGCAUCACUGGUGUUCGGGUUGUCAUGCCAAUGGCACUGCCCGGUAGCUAAAUGCGGAAGAGAUAAGUGCUGAAAGCAUCUAAGCACGAAACUUGCCCCGAGAUGAGUUCUCCCUGACCCUUUAAGGGUCCUGAAGGAACGUUGAAGACGACGACGUUGAUAG